rnacentral:lncRNA from 1 species
UUAUUUGACACAAUAUAAUUAGUUGGGAAUUGUAUUAUGUUAAAAUCGGAACGGCGAAAAAUAGAUCUAUAAAAUAAUUUAAUGCUGGAAAAGAAAAGAAAAGAGAAAAGAUCGUACCGAUAUUUUACGUGGUUCGGCCAACGGCUUACGUCCGCGGAUGAAGACGGAGUAAAUACUUUAUUAAUAUCGAAAAUGCGGAGUACAAAAAUAAUCUCUCGAAGAAACUGAAAACCAAAGUAAAUAUAUAUUCGACGCGCGUUAUCGCAUACGGUACCUUCUUAGCACGCAUCCCGACAAUAUAUCUCGACUCGGCUCACCAAAACAAGAAUGUACGGCACCUCCGCAUAAGCAAGCAAACGCGCCUUUGGCUCCUUGACCGUACAAAACCGAGAACUCUCUAAUAUACUAGGCUUAAUGCGAGUUGCUGCCUUUCAUUAAUUUGGCCGUAGCGUGUGUAUAUAACACAUGUCUUUUAACUAGAAUAUAAUUUUAAUUCAAUUAGAAUUACACUCUUAUUUAUAAUCCAUAUAUAUACCAAAUUAAAUUUAAAUUAUAUAUAAUUCUAAUUAAAUUAUAAUUUAAUUUUAAGUUAAGUAACUACAAAUCUAAACCAAAUAUAACAUAUUCGAUGUGUUUUGUAUGCUCGGCACAAAUCUAAACCUAAUAUAACAUAUUCGAUGUGUUUUAUAUACUCGGCACAAAUAAUUCGGUUAAUUUCUCUCUAGCUCUCUCCUGCUCUUUCUAGAAGAGCCUAUUGAAUGUGACCCACGUGAUUUAUUUAAGGUGAUUUAUAAAAAUACAGUCGGUCUAUUCAAAUCGAUCUAUAAAGAUACGAUAAAUUUAGCAGGAUAUAUCCGGAUAUGUUCUUAAUGGACAGACGUGAUUUAAUAUUUGUAUAUCUAAGUUAUACAUAAAUAUAUUAUAUACGGAAUUCUCGGCUUGACCCUAAUUCUAAUUCCUG